ACUUAAUUAAUUUAAUUAAAAAUAUUGGUUUGUGGUAUCAAAAAUAUGAGAAGUCAUUUUAAGUU
rnacentral:tRNA from 1 species